rnacentral:rRNA from 1 species
UGCGUAGGCGGUCUUGUAGGUCAGAUGUGAAAGCCCACGGCUCAACCGUGGAAUUGCGUUUGAAACCACAAGACUUGAGGGGAUCAGAGGAGAGCGGAACUGAUGGUGGAGCGGUGAAAUGCGUUGAUAUCAUCAGGAACACCGGUGGCGAAAGCGGCUCUCUGGGAUCUUUCUGACGCUGAGGCACGAAAGCUAGGGGAGCGAACG